AUUGAACGCUGGCGGCAGGCCUAACACAUGCAAGUCGAGCGGUAGCACAGAGAGCUUUGCUCUCGGGUGACGAGCGGCGGACGGGUGAGUAAUGUCUGGGAAACUGCCUGAUGGAGGGGGAUAACUACUGGAAACGGUAGCUAAUACCGCAUAAUGUCGCAAGACCAAAGAGGGGGGAACCUUCGGGCCGUCUUGCCACUCAGAUGUGCCCACGAUGGGUAG
rnacentral:rRNA from 1 species